UACGUAGGGUGCAAGCGUUGUCCGGAAUUAUUGGGCGUAAAGAGCUCGUAGGCGGUCUGUCGCGUCUGCUGUGAAAUCUCAGGGCUUAACCCUGAGCUUGCAGUGGGUACGGGCAGACUAGAGUGCGGUAGGGGAGACUGGAAUUCCUGGUGUAGCGGUGAAAUGCGCAGAUAUCAGGAGGAACACCGGUGGCGAAAGCGGCUCUCUGGGACGGUACUGACGCUGAGACGCGAAAGCGUGGGGAGCGAACAGG
rnacentral:rRNA from 1 species